ACCCGCUGAACUUAAGCA
rnacentral:rRNA from 4 species